CAGCACACAUCUCAGUGCCCUGUUGUCUGAGGCAGUAGUGAGCUUCAGGCCUCAGAUGAUGGACACCUAUCUCCUUUCUGAGGAGAGUGAGUGAGCCACGGGUCAUCAAUUCCAUCAUUUACUUCCUGUGUGUGGCUAGGCUCCUCCUUCUGUCAUCCUUCUUCCAAAAGGGAGCCAUUUGCUACCAGUCUUCAGAAUAAAGGAGACAUCAACCAGGGAAUCUAAAAACUUAUAUCCCAUGCCUUUUCUGGGAAAGUUACUACAGAUGUGCUUCAGAAAAAUGAUGAAGAAAAUGAAGAGAAGAGCCUCGAGGACUGUGAGGAAACAAAUUUCUGGUGUUUAAGCGGCCCAGUCUGUGACACUUUGUUACGGCGGCCCGAGCAGACUAACACAACUGGGAAAGAGGUCACAGGUACAAGGGUAGAGGAGAUUGGAGGAGUGAGAACACAGCAGGGGACAAGACCAGAGUAAGAGACUGAUGACGGGGCUAAUGCAAAAUGAAGUGACCAGGUUUAAGGACCUGAAGGAAAGCAGCAACGAUGGUGACGGAGAGAAAGAGACGGAUGUGAGAGACACUGUCAACAAAUCAAAUGGGAUGUGUAAGAGGGUGGAUGUAUUGAAUGAGCAUGAUGGUUGGGACACAGAGGAGUCCCGUUACAUCAAGAGAUGGAUAACAGUCAGUGCACAAGUAGAGCUUGGACUUCCCCAAGAGGCUGGAGAGCAGAGCAGUCCCAGAAAUAACUUGGUACCCUGCUCGGCACCACCAGAGGUGAGGACACUGGGGAACACACAGUGUGAGCUACUUGCCGAGAUGCUGCUGCUGGUGACUAGCAGAGCGAGAUUCAACAUGCUGUCUGGCUCCAGAGCCACACUCCUGAACCACUAAACUGUGCUGCCAAAAAUGUCACGGCGCCUGGAGAACGCGUCUCAGUCAAGAGCAGCUCGCUAUACAAUAUGAAUCUGCCUUUGGCCUUAGAUGGUGGAAACAAAUGUGGACAUUUGUACCAAACUAGGUCAGUCCAAAGUAUAUGAACAUAGGGAGCUGAGCUGGAAGGCCAAGUGGGCUUGGGGUCUGAAGGAACUCCUUGGGGGCAGCCAUGAUGGCUCACCAUGAGCCCCAGUGAAUGAGCAGAAAUGGAAGUCUGCACGGGCUACAAGUCUGUGGGGCUACAAAUGCAGCAGUCCCCCUAGCAGAGAUAGGAAACCAUGAGCGCUCAAAUGGCAGAGCAAAAUCAGAGUGCAUGAAAUUUCCCAGAGUGCUUAAAACAAACCCUCCUUUUCUUAAGCUAGCUUGAGCACUUUUCUGCUCUUUGCUAGACAGCAACUCCUGAGAUAAAGGGAAGUAGUGACAUAGGUCGCACGAUUUCCUGCCCAGGUUCUUAACUUCCUUCCUGGUUAAGAACUGUCCCAGUGCCUUGGAUGAGGACCGAGAUGAUGUUGUGAGGAAAACUAUGGGGAAUAUGAAGCUGGGCACAGCAGCAGCAAUAGUAAGGUGAAAGAACCAGCACCCAGAAGAACCCCAAUAACUGGAAAUAUGGUAAAUCUAACAAGAAAAAGGUCAAUACGGGUGAAGGUAAAGACCUCCAUUUGGACUAGGAAAAAAAUUAACCAGACAGCUCAGGAUGAAUAGUGGAAGUAAGAACUGAUGCAACAGUGAUGCAUGUUGAAAUGACUGAGGGGGUUAGUUGAAAACAUGUCUGAUACAUCCAUGCUCAUGAACUCAGCAACUACUCUACGUGCUUACCACAUGCCAGGCUUUCUGCUAGGAGCUAUACAACCAUGCAUCAGAAUUUUUACUAUGGCCUUUCUAAUAUCUAAUAAACAUAGAAGGCCUCAUUUUCAACAAAGUGGCUAAGAGAAAAGAGGGGGUUAUAAAGAGUUCCAAACUCACCAGAUUCAGCCCUUGCCCCCUUUAAAUUUGUCCGAUCCAUGUCCCUUUCACAGUUAUAAUGAGCAUCAGCUCCUGCUUCUUCUGGGGCUUCCCUUUUAUCCUUUCAAUAGAUGUCUUAGUUUGGAUUCUCCUAAAAGCAGAUCCUCAGACAAAGAUUUGAGUGCAAGUAGCUGAUUUGGGAGGUAAUCCGGGAAACAGAGUGAGGGAGUGAGAUAGGGAAGGAAGGCAGCCAACAAUGUUACCAAACCAGUUACUGCUGGAAUAGGCGGAGCUCAGGCUUGGCGGGACCUCAGGAAGCCAGCAUAGGAUAUAACGCCAGAGUUAUUCUUACAAAGGAGUGGGAAUCUGGGGUGUUUAUACACCGACUCUUAUCAAGGAUUGGUUGAGGGCUGCUUCCAGGACGUGGGGUUUCUGGCUUGCCUUGCAUGUAGGCUGUGUGCUCCCAGGGCCGGAUAAAUAGCCCUCAGGCAGAGAUUCACAAACGUCACAGUAGCAGCCUUUGUCUUAGAGAGGCAAAUUCUGAGGGGAUGGGCUGGGACACUAAUAACUACAAAACUCAAGGGGCCAGCCCAGUGGCUCAGUGGUUAAGUGCUCAUGAUCCACUUUGGCGGCCUGGGGUCCGCCAGUUUGGAUCCUGGGUGCGCACCUACACACUGCUUGUCAAGCCAUGCUGUGGUAGGCAUCCCACAUAUAAAGUAGAGGAAGAUGGGCAUAAGUGUUAGCGCAGGGUCAGUCUUCCUCAGCAAAAAGAGGAGGGUUGGUGGGAGAUGUUAGCUCAGGGCUAAUCUUCCUCAAAAAAAAGAGGAUAACUACAAAACUCAAGUUUUCUUCAGGAUUCAUUAUCCUUCUCCACAGUUGUGUUCUUUGGCUUGGUAUAAGGAUGGAAAGAUGGGCUGAUUCUUUUACAGCAAGCAGAAGAUGGCAGAAUCAGGAGUCUGUGCGAAAGGAAGAGGACAGACAGUAUGUUGUACAAAGUUCUUGUCGCCGUGUUGCAGGAGAAACAUGUCUGGCUGAAUCCUAAGGUGCAUCUAUUGACUAGACGUGUACAAGUGUCCCAGGGUCUGAGCACCUAAAAACUCCCAUCACAGCAGCAAAUCCUAAGCAGACUGUUCACCUUCUAAUGUGGCCCAAUGAGUCAACAUGGCCCCAAGACACUGAAUAAAUUGGCUAAAAGUGGAUAUUCUUCCUUUCUUCGUAAAAUACUUGACUUUGUUCUCUUUUACACUUGAAAUUGAAAAUACACUUGGAUUUUUAAAAAACAGGUUGAUGAUUACCUGGGCUGGUGGAAAACAAUGUGAGACUAGCAGAAAACACAUGUAAAUAUUCCAUUAAAAUCUUCCUAGUAUGUAGAUUUUUAAAAAUCAUUUGGGGACAAUAAAGACAAAGUAGCAAUCUAUUUUUUGGAAUAAUUGUCUUCAUGCCAAAAGAAAUGCUCCAUCUAAAUUUUUUUAAUAUGGAAGGAAAAAUUCUUAGAAAAAGACUUUUCCCUGAAAAUAUUGCUUUUUCUCUUUCCCUUCGUUCCUAUCCCUGACCCCAGCCCAACUGGCAGCUUCCCUUCACUAUUAAUCAGCUCGUAAACAGAGGGCUCUUUCAUGACAGCUUUCCAGAGUGAUAAGCAAUGUGACAACCUUCAAUCUCAUCCUACCCAAAUUUGAAAUACCAAUCCUUGCAUUACAUACUCCUUUUUCUGUAGUCCAACACUCCAUAAACGUGACUAACGCAUUUCUUCAGUUGUCUAUAUCCUUUCCGAGUCUACAUUGCUGUCCUAGACUUAAUAGGCCCUAAGGAAAGACUGUCUUAACUAUUUUAUCCAUUUAGAAUGGUGGCACACACCACCAGCAUGGCUGCCAUGUUGCCUAACUCCAGAGGGCACCAUUCACAUACAACACUGUGAAAAUGGAACCCUGGAGUUGUACACUUAGCAGCGCUGAUCAGUAUCAACUCAAGAUUACUGCUCAUUGGUGACCUUGAUAAUGAAGUCACCUUUCAAUAGCAAUUAUGACAAACCCACUCACAAUAAGGAAAUAUGGUUUUUCAGGUGAAGCAAGGCCUAGAGAGAAACUUAGAACUAGAUGGAAAUUUAGAGACCAGUGAGUGUGGCCCCUUCAUUUGACCCCAAGCUAUCCAAGCUCAAAAUGGUUAAUACAGCUUGGGAUUGUUGAGUUUGUUCCAGAAUAUCCUAGAAUAUGUCUUCUGCCUCAACAUCCUUCAUCCCUACAUCACUCCCACCACGUACCACAUACCUUACCAUUACUCAUAGAGAAACCCGGAUCAAGGGUACCAAACUCAAAUGGCAAAGGGACCAGGCAGAGGAUACAAAUAAUGUGGGCCAAAUGGGACUGUGGUAACCUAGGGAGGGUUUCAUUACCUGAGAGAAUAGCCACCGCUGUGCCAAUUGUACCAUAUAAGUGUGCAGGUCCAAUGUGGCUAGAUGCUCUUCAAGAGAAGCCCAAAGCUUAGAUUUUUCUGUGAAAUUUUCUGGCUUUUAAAUGUAGUAAAUUAACUUGUUUUUAAAUACUGUAUGCCAAGGAAAGCCAGAUCUGGCCCAUAGUCUAUAGUAUCUGACUUGGAUGAUAAACCCCGAGAAGGAAUUAACAUCUCCUCGUCGCUCACAGCUGGGUGGUCUGUUAUGAGUCACCGUCUCUGAGUCUUGGUUUCUUCAUCUAUGAAAUGAGAAAAUGACCCCUUCUUUGAAGGAUUUUGUAAGAACUAAGCUUAUGUAGAUAAAGCACAUAGCACAGUGGCUGGCACAGUCCAUUCUUAAUAAGAGACGGCUGCUCACUUCCCUUUGUGGCUGAGACAUAUGCAUGUGGGUGUUGGUAGCAGAAUUCUCCACAGCCUUUCACCUAUUCCUUUUCUGUCUAUUAGGGAAAGAUGCCCACUGCUCAAAGGCAGUGGGGUGGGGCGGUUUUGAAUCCAUCAUCCUUACCUAAAUCAGGGGUUUACAAAUCAGAAAAUUUGGUUUUGCAUGCUUUCUGGUCUAAGGACGGUAAGAAUAAAUAAACAAGCAAACAAUAAAAAUAAAAAAGAAUAUAUCCUACAAGUAGCAUUUAAAUAUAAACCAUAAUAGCUAUGAACAUGAAGGCGGGGUGCUCACUUCAGGCCACGUUUGCAGAAGGUCACACCAUAACAUGUGUGCUCAGAUCCAAUUUACCGAGUCCCACUGGGUGGCCAAGCAUGAAGUCAGUUGGCAGCUGAGAACACGCUCAUGUCUUGUCUCAAAAGGUGAGUGGGUCUCUGCCUUCAAAAGGACUGAGUUGGGCUGCACUUAACUGUUGACAAUGUAAUAGCAGGGAGUGGGGCUAGGACUUCGGGUCAGGGCAGAGGCCACGGGCACUGGGGAAGCCCUUGGAGAGCCAGGCUCUCUCACUGACUCCUUUCCUGUCUCCCUCCUCCCUGUGAUGAUGUGGGAUGUCUGACAGCAGUAGAAUGUUUGAGCUCAGAUUCCUGCCUGUGUUAUUGGUUGGACUUCUUGUGUUUCAUUCUCAUUUCUAUUUGAUGACAAUUUUCAUAGCCGAAUCAUAACAGGCAGAAAAUGUUCAGAGCUGCAUUUUCUAAAGUCAAUAAGGAUUCUGAAGCAAAGUUGUUACAGAGUCAAACAACUUAUGACAUCUCAACCCCUGCCAGGCAAAAACGUUCUCUAAUUUAAAUUAAAUAAAUGACACAGAAUCAGUGACCCCUAUAUGCCCACCAGCUCUUAGCACUAGGCCUUCAAAGUAAGCUCUCAAUGCAUACUGGUUAUUGAAUAAAACCAACUCUUGGCGAGAAGAAAUAACGACCCAUGAAGUAAAGCCAACAAUAGAAUGAAAACUGAUACUCUCCAAAAGCACGAAUUUACUCCUGUAUUCUACUUCUUACUCACC
rnacentral:lncRNA from 1 species